UUUCUUCCCAGCCAUUCAAUUAAGACAUCUUGGGUGGAGUUCUUUGAUGAUGAAUUUCUUGUAAUUUGCAAUAGUUAUCAAAAGGACAAAUAUAUUCAUUACCAUUGUCAGUGCUGAAUAUAUUUUAGAUUCUUCUCUGUUUAUUUCUCAAAUAAAGCUUGAAAUUCCUUGAACACAUCAAGUACUUAAUCAUUGAAUUUUAA
rnacentral:lncRNA from 1 species